rnacentral:rRNA from 1 species
UACGAAGGGGGCUAGCGUUGCUCGGAAUUACUGGGCGUAAAGGGAGCGUAGGCGGACAGUUUAGUCAGAGGUGAAAGCCCCGGGCUCAACCUGGGAAUUGCAUUCGAGACUGAAUAGCUAGGGUACGGUAGAGGGAAGUGGAAUUUCCGGUGUAGCGGUGAAAUGCGUAGAUAUCGGAAGGAACAUCAGUGGCGAAAGCGACUUCCUGGACCAGUACCGACGUUCAGGCACGAAAGCGUGGGGAGCAAACAGG